GUGGGGAAUAUUGGACAAUGGGGGCAACCCUGAUCCAGCGACGCCGCGUGGGUGACGAAGGUCUUCGGAUCGUAAAGCCCUUUUCUGCGUGACGAGCAAGGACGGUAGCGCAGGAAUAAGUCUCGGCUAACUACGUGCCAGCAGCCGCGGUAAAACGUAGGAGACAAACGUUAUCCGGAGUUACUGGGCGUAAAGGGCGUGCAGGCGGUCUGUUAAGUCUGGCGUGAAAGCUCCCGGCUAAACCGGGAGAGGUCGUUGGAGACUGGCAGACUUGAGGACGGUAGAGGCGAGUGGAAUUCCGGGUGUAGUGGUGAAAUGCGUAGAGAUCCGGAGGAACACCAGUGGCGAAGGCGACUCGCUGGGCCGUACCUGACGCUAAGACGCGACAGCAUGGGGAGCGAA
rnacentral:rRNA from 1 species